UUUAUGGAGAGUUUGAUCCUGGCUCAGGAUGAACGCUGGCGGCGUGCCUAAUACAUGCAAGUCGAGCGAACGGAUGAGAAGCUUGCUUCUCUGAUGUUAGCGGCGGACGGGUGAGUAACACGUGGAUAACCUACCUAUAAGACUGGGAUAACUUCGGGAAACCGGAGCUAAUACCGGAUAAUAUUUUGAACCGCAUGGUUCAAAAGUGAAAGACGGUCUUGCUGUCACUUAUAGAUGGAUCC
rnacentral:rRNA from 1 species